rnacentral:misc_RNA from 1 species
AAACCAAUCAUUUUUGAAUGUGGGCCACAUUGUUCAUGUCCUCCAACUUGUUUGAAUCGAGUUAGUCAGAAAGGUGUGAGGAACAGGUUUGAAGUAUUUCGGUCUAGGGAGACUGAUUGGGGAGUUAGGUCGUUAGACCUCCUGCAAGCAGGGUCUUUUAUUUGUGAAUAUACUGGUGUUGUUCUCACUCAAGAGCAAGCUCAAAUAUUUACAAUGAAUGGUGAUAGUUUAAUCUAUCCAAGCCAUUUUGCUGAGAGAUGGGCGGAAUGGGGAG